CGGGGUGAGUAACGCGUGGGCAACCUGCCUCAUACAGGGGGAUAGCAUCGGGAAACUGGUGGUAAAACCGCAUAAGCGCACGAAGACGCAUGUUUUAGUGUGAAAAGGAGAAAUCUGGUAUGAGAUGGACCCGCGUCUGAUUAGCUAGUUGGAGUGGUAAAAGCACACCAAGGCGACGAUCAGUAGCCGGCCUGAGAGGGUGGACGGCCACAUUGGGACUGAGACACGGCCCAGACUCCUACGGGAGGCAGCAG
rnacentral:rRNA from 1 species